GAGACAGCAGCCGCCGCGGUAAUACGAAGGGUGCAAGCGUUAAUCGGAAUUACUGGGCGUAAAGCGUGCGUAGGCGGUGAGUUAAGUCUGCUGUGAAAUCCCCGGGCUCAACCUGGGAAUGGCAGUGGAUACUGGCUCGCUAGAGUGUGUCAGAGGAUGGUGGAAUUCCCGGUGUAGCGGUGAAAUGCGUAGAGAUCGGGAGGAACAUCAGUGGCGAAGGCGGCCAUCUGGGACAACACUGACGCUGAGGCACGAAAGCGUGGGGAGCAAACAGGAUUAGAUACCCCUGUAGUCCCUGUCUCUUAUAC
rnacentral:rRNA from 1 species